rnacentral:rRNA from 1 species
CAAAGCACUUUGAAGAGAGAGUUAAAGAGGACGUGAAACCGGUGGGGUGGAAACGGAUAGAGCUAGCGAAUCUGGCCUGUAUUCAAUUGAUCAAUUUAUUGGUCGGUGCAUUUGCAGGUGGUGUGCGCUGAGACGGACGGUGCAGCGGUCCUAGGUUGGUGUAGGGGCUUCGUUUUCGGACGUUGAACUUCCACUUUCGGAAGACUGUUUGUGCUGUUUGAGAGAUUAUGACCCAUGGUCGGUGAAUGGUGGUUUGCUCUGUGGUGCUGGGAGGCGGUCGCAUGCGACACGUGCUCGGUGCUGCUUUGUUGAUUACUAGUCACAGUUAGUCAUUCUCGGCGUAAAAGGUGGUCAUCUAUCCGACCCGUCUUGAAACACGGACCAAGGAGUUUAGCGUGUGCGCGAGUCAUUGAGUGGUAAACUCAUAGGCGAAAUGAAAGUAAAGACUACCUUGUGUAGUUGACAUGCGAUCUUGUGCAUUUCGGUACAUGAGAGCAGCAUGGCCCCGUCCUGAUUGCUUGCAAUGGGGCGGAGGUAGAGCGUAUUCGCUGAGACCCGAAAGAUGGUGAACUAUGCCUGAGCAGGAUGAAGCCAGGGGAAACCCUGGUGGAAGUCCGAAGCGGUUCUGACGUGCAAAUCGAUCGUCUGACUUGGGUAUAGGGGCGAAAGACUAAUCGAACCAUC